rnacentral:rRNA from 1 species
UACGUAGGGUGCAAGCGUUGUCCGGAAUUAUUGGGCGUAAAGAGCUCGUAGGCGGUCUGUCGCGUCGGCUGUGAAAACCCGGAGCUCAACUCCGGGCCUGCAGUCGAUACGGGCAGACUGGAGUUCGGCAGGGGAGACUGGAAUUCCUGGUGUAGCGGUGAAAUGCGCAGAUAUCAGGAGGAACACCCGUGGCGAAGGCGGCUCUCUGGAACGCAACUGACGCUGAGACGCGAAAGCGUGGGGAGCAAACAGG